ACCCGUGUGACGAAGUGGUAUCGUGCUUCCCUUCUAAGGAAGAAAUCCUGGGUUCGAACCCCAGCAUGGGUG